GUUAUAGCUAACAGGGUGCCAGGUAGCACCGUGCUGGGUCUGGGGAAUACAAUGAUGAUUUAGGGGAACAUGCUUCCUCCUCUCAGGCAGCUUGCUUUUUGGCCAGGUGGACAAACAUUGCAACCAUUUAAAUUGGAAGAGUGCCACGUUGCACCAUAAAUGGCAGAGAGAACACCUAAGGAGUCUUGGCCCAAUCUAGGGGAUUCGGGGAAGGCGUUUCUAAAGCCUUGGAUUAUCAGUUUAAGUGUUACGACCCACAGUGAAUGCGGGAAACAUCACAAGAUUCCAGUUCUUCAGACAAACAAUGGUCCAAGUCUAACAGGAUUGACUACUAUAGCAGCUCAUCUAGUCAAGCAAGCCAACAAAGAAUAUUUGCUGGGGAGUACUGCAGAAGAAAAAGCAAUCGUUCAGCAGUGGUUAGAAUACAGGGUCACUCAAGUAGA
rnacentral:lncRNA from 1 species